rnacentral:rRNA from 1 species
AUUGAACGCUGGCGGCAUGCCUAACACAUGCAAGUCGAGCGGACGAACGGGGCUUUUUCCUGGAUGCAGUGGCGGGCGGGUGAGUGAGGCAUAGGAGUAUACCUCGUAUUGAGGGAUAACGUCCGGAAACGGGCGCUAAUAUAACACACGCCCUGAGUGAGAAAGGGGGGGUUCUUUGGAGCUCACGCGUUCUGCUGUGCCUAGGUGGGAUAAGCUCGUGGGUGGGGUAAAGGCCUACCAAGGCGACGAUCCGUGGCUGGUCUGAGAGGAUGACCAGCCACACUGGAACUGAGACACGGUCCAGGCUCCUACGGGAGGCAGCAGUGGGGAAUAUUGGACAAUGGGCGAAAGCCUGAUCCAGCAAUGCCGCGUGUGUGAAGAAGGUCUUCGGAUUGUAAAGCACUUUUAGUUGGGAAGAAGAGCUGUAUGUUAAUACGUUCCUGUUUUGACGGUACCGAAAGAAUAAGCACCGGCUAACUACGUG